GGGCCGCGCCUUGCCACCUGCAGCGCCCGGGAGGGCCGCAGGGGCCUCGGCGGGACGCGCUCGGCCCUGUCGCGGGGGGCUAACGCUGGGGAUCCUUGCAGGUGGGAGUCGAGAGCGUCUCAAAGCGCCCAAGCCAUGGUGGCCAAACAGCGGAUCCGGAUGGCUAACGAGAAGCACAGCAAAAACAUCACCCAGAGGGGGAACGUAGCCAAAACCCUGAGGCCGCAAGAAGAGAAAUAUCCUGUAGGACCAUGGCUGUUGGCACUGUUCGUUUUUGUUGUCUGUGGCUCAGGUUGACCACAUAAACACUGGCCUUUCCUGGAGACUGACAGAACUUUCUCGGAACUGUGACCCCCAGAGGGAGUCACCUCCUGCAACCAGCAAAUGGGGUGCUUGAGGAACGGGACAGCCCCGGAGGAAAGACAGAGGCCAUUCAUCUGCCCUGGAGCCCUGCCUCAGGAUCCAAGAUGGACAGUCUAGAGAAGACAUUUCACCAGCCAUUGACUUCCUCAAGCCAUCUUUCAAAUCAUUCAGAGCAUAAGGAUGGGCAUGUGAGGAGGCCGGGGCAUCUGAUGCUGCGCCCUCCCGCUGGAGGGUGGAGGACCACGGAGGCCUUUGGCGGGUAUCUGUGGGAAGCCAACAGGCCACGUGGAAUAGAGAAGAGGCUUCGCCACUGGUUCCCUGACCACUUCCGCCUGGAAGUCAGACCAAACUGCCUUCUCACAGAACAUCUCGGUGAAUCCGUGUCCUCCAGCGGAAAGGACAUUCUGCUUUUCUGUUGGCGGGAUUGGUAGCCACGCGGGUCGUCUGCAGCAUUGCUGUCUGUCUGGUCCCCCUUGGUUUCACUAAUGUGUGCAUGUGGCCCUCUGAAUGACCGCUGGUUUACUUUCUACCGAUGCAAUCUCUCCUCUGUCGGGAAAUGGUUUUACAAAUAAAUGUCUUCAUUCAACCUUA